AUUUUUGUCCCUUUCAGUAUUUAGCAUUUACGUGUGGCUUAAUCAGAGGUGGCUUAUCAAACUUGGGGAUAAAAAGUAUUGUCACAGCUGAAGUGUCUUCAAUGCCAGCCUGUAAAUUUCAGGUGAUGAUACAGAAGCUAUAAAACAUACUGAAAUGCAAGGCAAGGCUUCAACAAUGUAAAGAGAUAAAUUAUUCAUGUAUAAAGUAUUUCAAGUA